rnacentral:rRNA from 1 species
UACGGAGGGUGCGAGCGUUGUCCGGAUUUAUUGGGUUUAAAGGGUGCGCAGGUGGCCCGGUCAGUCAGUGGUGAAAUGUGGCCGCUCAACGGUCGAACUGCCAUUGAUACUGCCGGGCUUGAGGGGAGUGGAGGCCGCCGGAACGGACGGUGUAGCGGUGAAAUGCAUAGAUAUCGUCCAGAACGCCGAUGGCGAAGGCGGGUGGCUACGCUUCAACUGACACUGAGGCACGAAAGCUUGGGGAGCGAACAGG